rnacentral:snRNA from 1 species
GCACGCGCCUAACGGCGUGC